UUGAAUAGAGUACGGACAGGUGUCUGUUUAUCAGACUUAAUAGAGAAUCCGGUAAAAAGCCGGAGCGGUCCCGCCACUGUAUAGGGGAGCAAGGUACAUUUAUGUCACUGAGUCACGGGCAAUGUGAUUUGGGAAGGCGUACCAAGCUGAGAACCUGAGCCAGGAGAACUGCCUGUUUUAUCAUUUCCGU
rnacentral:ncRNA from 2 species